rnacentral:rRNA from 1 species
GACGAACGCUGGCGGCGUGCUUAACACAUGCAAGUCGAACGGUGAACCUUGGAGCUUGCUUCGAGGGGAUCAGUGGCGAACGGGUGAGUAACACGCGAGUAACCUGCCCUGGACUCUGGAAUAAGCGCUGGAAACGGCGUCUAAUACCGGAUACGAGACGCAACCGCAUGGUUAGGGUCUGGAAAGUUUUUCGGUCUGGGAUGGACUCGCGGCCUAUCAGCUUGUUGGUGAGGUAAUGGCUCACCAAGGCGACGACGGGUAGCCGGCCUGAGAGGGCGACCGGCCACACUGGGACUGAGACACGGCCCAGACUCCUACGGGAGGCAGCAGUGGGGAAUAUUGCACAAUGGGCGAAAGCCUGAUGCAGCGACGCCGCGUGAGGGAUGACGGCCUUCGGGUUGUAAACCUCUUUCAGCAGGGAAGAAGCGAAAGUGACGGUACCUGCAGAAGAAGCACCGGCUAACUACGUGCCAGCAGCCGCCGUAAUAC